AGAGUUUGAUCAUGGCUCAGGACGAACGCUGGCGGCGUGCUUAACACAUGCAAGUCGAACGAUGAACCACUUCGGUGGGGAUUAGUGGCGAACGGGUGAGUAACACGUGGGCAAUCUGCCCUGCACUCUGGGACAAGCCCUGGAAACGGGGUCUAAUACCGGAUACUGACCCGCUUGGGCAUCCAAGCGGUUCGAAAGCUCCGGCGGUGCAGGAUGAGCCCGCGGCCUAUCAGCUAGUUGGUGAGGUAAUGGCUCACCAAGGCGACGACGGGUAGCCGGCCUGAGAGGGCGACCGGCCACACUGGGACUGAGACACGGCCCAGACUCCUACGGGAGGCAGCAGUGGGGAAUAUUGCACAAUGGGCGAAAGCCUGAUGCAGCGACGCCGCGUGAGGGAUGACGGCCUUCGGGUUGUAAACCUCUUUCAGCAGGG
rnacentral:rRNA from 1 species